rnacentral:rRNA from 1 species
GAUAAACGCUAGCGGCAGGCUUAACACAUGCAAGUCGAGGGGCAGCAUAGAUUGUAGCAAUACAAUUGGUGGCGACCGGCGUACGGGUGCGUAACGCGUAUGCAACCUACCCGUCACAGGGGGAUAAUCCGGAGAAAUCUGGUCUAAUACCCCAUAACAUAUGGAUCGGCAUCGGUUCAUGUUGAAAUUUUCGGAGGUGACGGAUGGGCAUGCGUAGCAUUAGCUUGUUGGUGAGGUAACGGCUCACCAAGGCGACGAUGCUUAGGGGGACUGAGAGGUUUUCCCCCAAACGGGUACUGAGACACGGACCAGACUCCUACGGGAGGCAGCAGUGAGGAAUAUUGGUCAAUGGGCGCAAGCCUGAACCAGCCAUGCCGCGUGCAGGAUGACGGCUCUAUGAGUUGUAAACUGCUUUUGUACGAGGGUAAAGUGGGUUACGUGUAACCUUUUGAAAGUAUCGUACGAAUAGGGAUCGGCUAACUCCGUGCCAGCCGCCGCCGUAA